rnacentral:lncRNA from 1 species
AUCAAAAUCCUACUAAGAAUAGGUUACUGAGCCUCGACAAAUUUUGGGUGCUUCAGAAUAUCAAAGCAUCACGGUGUUGGAAAUUCUGACUAAAUUCUACCACAACUAACGAUACCCUAAACUCUCUACCUCUUAACUUGAGAUGCUCAGGAAUUAAUCUCCACAUAUGGAGCACUAGACAGUUCGAUGGCUCAACAUACUUUAAAUUCAUCUUCUUUACCCAUCAUUCUUGAAUAUGCAGUUUAACUCGCGAAAGAGGUCUGCCACAUGCAUGCAUCCACCUCUCCAGAUCCAUUAGGUAAUGCAGAAGAAAGACAUUUAAGGACAUUAGUUCUUACCUAAGCAUCUCUCCCGACAGUAAUUUUGGUCCACUCAAUACUGGUGAGAUGCUGAAAUUAUUGCCAACAGCAUGGAACGAAGGGUGCCCAAGAGGCACUGGUCGAUCUGGAAUCUGUGGAACUUCAAUAUCUCCUUCUAACAUUUUCAGCGCAUCCAGAAUGGUUGGCCUUGAAACCACCAUUGUAUGAGCACAAAAAAUCCCAACAAGCACAAACCUUUCCAUUAUCCCCUUCGGAUUUGAAUUUGGAGAAUCACCACCUCUCAACAAAGAAGCAUCCAAAGCCUGUUCCACUUUUCCAGCUUUCACCAAUGACCAGGCCCGGUCUGUGAUCAAUAAAGCACGAGGUGACCCUGAAGAAGACAAAUCAAGAGCUUUUCUCCCGCACAUUAUCUCCAAAACAACCACCCCAAAGCUAUAAACAUCGCUCUUCUCAGUCAGUUGACCAUAAAGAGCAUAUUCGGGUGCUAUGUACCCAUGAGUUCCAGCCACUCUUGUCGUAAGAUGAGACUGCCCUUCCCUACUUUGCUUUGCCAACCCAAAAUCGGCAACUCUUGCUCUCAUAUCAGCAUCUAACAAUAUAUUUGUCCCCUUGAUAUCUCUAUGAUAUAUUCCAGGCUUGACUCCAUGGUGCAAAUAAGCUAAUCCCUUUGCCACAUCCAAAAUUAUGCUCUUUCUUUGAGGCCAACUUAACAAUUGCUUUUGAAUUUGAUUAACCGAUGAUGGAAAUAAAUGGUCAUCAAGAUUCCCAUUUGACAUGUAAUCAUAAACAAGAUACCUCUGAUUGCCUCUCUCAUCAGAAUUUACAUCAUCGUCAAUCACACAGCACCCUCUGAGGGGCAUCAAAUUCCUGUGCUUCAAGUUGCUAAUAAUCUCAACCUCAUUGCAAAACUCUACGUCACCUUGAAAAUCAGAUUCUAUAACCCUUUUAAUAGCCACCACUGUCCCAUCAGAUAAAACCCCCUUGUAAACAAAACUAAAUCCGCCUCUCCCAAUAAAAUUCUUCUGCGAGAAAUUGUCUGUUGCCUUCUCAAGAUCCCGAAUUUUAAACCAAAUUGAUCCUGUAUUCGGCCUCAGUUUAGGCCUAGACCCUUGUUGUUCAUCUAAAUCAAAACCAAACCCUGGAUUCUUUUUCCUUCUCCGUUUCUUAUCAUACCAAAGAUACAAUCCUAACAAACUAGAGAUUCCUAAAAUAGCAACACCAGCACCAGUCAAGCCAAAAACAAGAGCAGAAUGAGAAUUGCUAGCUGAACCAACGGUUGAAUUUAAUUCCAAACCAAAUAUACAUGAAACAACACCAUCACUUUCAGGACCAAACUAGUUAACAAUACCAGCAGCAUAAAGAACAGCAAAGUAAAAACAAUCUUGAGCAUGAGUUUGAUUACCAUCAGCAUACACCAACAACGACUUUGCUGUAUAACCAGCUCUAAGACAAGAACCACAACCUGUAAUAUCAGUAAGAUCAGACCGGCAAUCUGAUUCAAGAGAAGUCGACUUACCAAGUUGAUCAACCCAGUCUUGAGAUGUCUCUAUACGGGCACAGAUGUUUGGUGAUGUAACAAACUGUAAAGGGUUCAAGCAGUGAGAGACAAGAUUGUCGGAAAGAGAAAAGGAGCUGAGCUUUGACUGGUAAUCUUGAAGGCAAGAACUAGAGGUAGCUAAGUCUGGAAGUUGAAAAAGAGAUGUUUCUUUGAGAUGUUGAGAUAGGGCAACCCCAAAGAGGGAGAGUAUGGCUUGGCAACAUUGGGCCUUGCUUGUGGUGGUAGAAUUGUCAUUUUGAGCAAGAGGGUUGAAGUUUCGACAAAGAGUUUUGUUCCAUGGGAUUCUUAAGACAUAGUUAAGGUCCAUAGGGCAUAUGCUUGAAGUGGAGGUUUCUGCUGCUGCAUAGGUGAGAGGGAGACAGAAUGAUAUUAAGACAAGAAACCUUAAGAAAUCAAGAUUAGUGCUGCCCCCCAUGCCAAGCUUUAGAUUUUGCUAAGAAUAGGGUUGCUUAUGAUUUAUUGUUAUCUUGGCUUAUGAGCUCUUGCUUGAACUGCAGAGGAGAGGAAGAAGAAGACGAAGAAAUCAUAUGGAAGAAGAGAGGGAAAGUUCUGGUCAAACACUCACUUCAAGGGUUGGGGCCGCAGGAAGUUCAGUCGGUUAGCACCAUUCAAAUAAACAAAAAAUAAUCAUCCCAAUUAAUUUGGAUAAAAAAAAAGUUUGAAAAUCUUUUAAGAAUAAAAAAUUCCUGUAAUUCUUCGGAAUAAAUUUCAAAAUAUUCAGGUAAGGGGAAAAAAAUGUCACGGUAUCCUAAAUUACAUGAACUACCCCAACGCUCACCCUACAUUGUUAAUUGUUAUGAGUGCUAAACUCAGCUCGCCAAAUUUAGUUGAAAAAUCCACGAUUCUACUCUAAUAAUAGUUAGUUUUUCAAGUUAAAUAAAAAAAUUGUUUUAGUGAAAUCUAAUUAGACAAGCCUUUUCAAGUUGUUAAGUGAUUAAAACAAAAAAUUAUGUAAGAUGUUCUGUUUAGUAUUAUAAUAAUAAUUAUUAUUAUUUAAAAUAUUUUUUAUUUUAAAAUAAUAUUUUUUAUUUAAAAUUAUAAAAAAAUAAUUUAAAUAAAAAAUUUAAUUUCUUAAAAAAGUUUAGAUAGUAAAAACAAACCGUAAUUUGCAAGCUACAUGCUUGGAAGUGGACUAGACGUGCUCCAAAAGAUAGGGUUUGCUUUUACGAGGUAAUCAUAGUUAUGAAGCCGGAGGUCUGGCGGGUUGAUAUAGAACCGGUGAUUAGAUUGAUCUGGAUUUGUUAAAAGACCGGACGGUGCAAUAACUCGGUAAAACCUAGUUGACCCGGUGGGUCAAUCCAUGGCCUGAGCAGACCCGGAUAAGACCCGGCAUUUUGAAGAUGAUCCACUUGAGAUGAUUGCAAGCCGAUUUGGGUUUGGAGAUCUUAAGGCUUGGUGUUGGGUUCUAUUUCUUCCUUCUAGCCCUAACGAUUGAUGACAAUAACUUAAAGGAAUUGAAGGCUAAACAAGACCAAACUCACAGUGUUUCAGGAGAGAGAGGGGCAAUAGAUAGCAGUACCAGCACCAUAGGUUUUAUUAUCUUCAUCAAGUCUUUAAUAUCUCUCUCUUUUUCUCUCUAGCUGAUGUUUUCAAGCAUGUAGAAAUCAUAGGAAUUUACAGGGGAAAGAUGUAAAAGAGAGGAUUUGGGUGCGUUAAGGAGCAAGGACUCUGCUUCACCCCACGGGAAAGCAUGUCAAAGAGCCGGAGAGGAUAGAAAAACUUUGUGAGAAGAUGGUGAUGAGAUUAAUGUCAAAGAGAUCUCUGCACAAAACAACCAACGACCAAUAAUGUCACCCUCUCCCAUACCCAUGUCCUGCCAAAUUGGGUCCCUCUUCACCUUUUUAUUAUUAUUUUUCUUUCUCAUUUCUUAUUUAAGUCUUUAACCACCUGAUCUCAUAAAUAACCCAGGUUUUAUGGAUUGAUUUAAAUUAAUUCGGGUUAAUAUUUAAAAUCUAGAAUCUAGUUUUUUGAGUGGGUUAAUUUUUAAAUUGGUUUAAUAAAUAAAGGAUGGUAGGGCGUAACAUGGACGAAAGCUGCAAUGCUUUUACGAAAGGAAGACUGUUCACUGACAUGGCAUUUUUGCAGUUAUUGGAAAAGUCUUCACAUGAAUUUUUAGGAUUGUGGAAAUUUUUUUUUUAAAAGAAAUAUAUUUUACUUGAAAAAUAUUAAAUUAAUAAUUUUUUAGAGAUUUAUAUUGGUAUUGAUAUGUUAAUAUUAAAAAAAUCUAAAAUAAAAUAUUAUAUUAAUAUAUUUUUAAAUAAAAAAUAAUUUUUUAAAAAAACUAAACCACAAUAUCAAAUACACAACAAUUAAAUAUCUAUGUAGCUAUCUAUGUAGCAUCUCUAUGGCGGGAAGCUUUGCUAUCUUUUUCCUAUUAGAAUUUUUUAUAUUUUUGAUGCAUUAAUUCAAUACAAUAAAUGUAUUUUUAAAAUUAUUGGAGAAAAAGAGUUAAUCAAUCAAAAUGAAAACAAAAUUUUGAAAAAUAUAGUUAUUAAAUUGAUAUAAAAUUUAAACCGGAAAAUAAUACAAGUUAUUGGUUUGUUAAGUCAAUUAUGAAUUACCAAAUUAAUUUAUAUUAGUUUUUUUAUGAAAAAAUUCAUUUAAUUCUUUUGAUAUUAAUCCUGCAAAGUCAUCUAAAUUAGAUUUUAAAUCAUAAAUUCCGAAACUGAACCGAAGUUAGCCGCUAUAUUGGAAAGUACCGAUUGAAGCCAAGAUUACUGGCAACUUUUGACCUCCAUGACAGUGACAAAAGAACCUCCCUUAAUGACAGUGACAAUCAUCGACCAUUCCUCGUCUUUGGGCUGCACGUGACAUUUGGCAAGCAACAGUUGCACGCAAGGCAGAAAUUAAGCGAUUAAAGUAGCUAAGACAUUGUUGUCCUCUGCUCUGUACCUGUUCAUCGUUGGAAGCAAUGACUAGCUUGUAUCUUUUGGGUUUGUUUUUAAAAUAAUUUUUAUGAGUAUGUUUUUUUAAAAAUAAAUUUAGAAAAAAAAUAAUUAAACUUGAUUAGUUGAAUUUAGAUACAAGUUUAUUAAAAAAUAUAAUUAAAAUUUAUGUGUAAUAAAAAAACAUAUAAAUUAUUUAAAUUUAGUUACAUCAUUAGGUUUGUUUGUUUAAUUGCAGCUUUUGUAUUUGCUGUGUAAAAAAUGUAGUUAGGUAUUUGGUAAUACACCAAACUGUGUUUUAUACAGUGGGACCCAGUAAAAAAUUAAGUUUGAAACAUAAUUUUUGUGAAGUUGUUUUUACAUAUUUUUUUAACUUAGUUUCAUAAAAUUAUGUUUGUUUUUGCGUUUCAAAAACAUUUUUAAAAAAAUUUGAUAUUUUUUUAUUUACUUUAAAUUAAUUUUUUUUUGUAUUUUCAGAUCAUUUUGAUGCGCUGAUAUAAAAAAUAACUUUUAAAAAAUAAAAAAAUUAUUUUAAUGCAUUUUCAAGUAAAGAACAAUUUUAAAAAGUAACCAUAACCAUAAAUCAAUUAAUAAUAAUAUAUUUUAGUUUAAAAUAUAGUUGCGGUUGGUUUUUAAAGUGCUAUUUAAUUAGGAACGGAGCUUGGAACGGAGCUUCAAUCCUACAACAGUAACGAGUACAUCAGGAUGGUUAUCAGCAACCUGACAUCUGGUAUCCAAGUGAUAUGUUAAUAACCUAAACAUUCUUUCUGUUUUUCAAAUCGAUCAUAGUCUAUAUAUGGUUUCGCUUUACUGUUCCAGGAAAUAUAUAAGGAGGGAUGAAAUUUGGAAUCUCAAACUUGGCUGCAAUGGGCUGUUUUCCUUUCCUGAGAGCACUUAAACGAACUAGAACAAGAAGUUCAGGCUGUAUGGAUGAAGUUACGGUUCUGACAAAGCUACACAAUAGAGAACUCUCUAAGGUCCUUAAAAAGCUUGAGAGACAGCUUAAUGGAUUUAAGUAUUCAAAUUUUGAUUUCUAUACUUCACAUAGUGAAAGAAUAAAUCAUCCCACCGAAUAUGGUAUGUUUUUAUCUACAUGUCAAUUCAGAAUUUCCUGCUCGUGUUUCUCAAAUAACAAGUCUAUCCUAACUGUCAAGUUCAGGGUAUGACUUGUUACUAAUUCUUCUAUACCUAUUUUAAUUUUGAUUGUUGCAACUUGAAUGUGAAGAUUUUAAGGAGAUAAAGUGGCAUGUUGUGGCACUGGUCCGUAUGGAGGUUCCAAGUGUGGUCUGAACAAGUUCGAAUUAUGCGAUAAUGCGAGUGAAUAUCUCUUCUUUGAUGGAAUUCAUCCAGCAGAUGAGGUUCAUAAUCAAUUUGCAAAGUUGUUCUGGAGUGGAAAUCCUGACGUUGGAGGGCCUUACAAUCUCAAAACACUGUUUGAGGAAUAGCAUAAAUGAUAAAACAAGGUGUACUUUUUUCCAGAUGCUGUAUUAGAUAACCCAGAAGCCAAAGUAUACUUGCUUCUCUUUAUUCUAUUUUGACUUGGAAGAAAUGACAUUAGAGGUGAGAGCAGAGUUCUGUUCUUGAGUACAACACUCACAGGAAUCAGAAAGAUCAUAUCUUGGUUUAGUAAUGCACUAGUUUACGAUGUAUCUGAUCAGCUCCUCAAAAUUCAAGAACCCUCUAAAAUCUGGUCUUUUUGAAGAGAUUCUGGGAGUGGCCCAGACUUGACAAUUUUCAACUUUAAAUUCCUGCUCAGAAUGAUAAGCAAAUACUUGACAUCUUAAAGCUUUCUGAAAGAAGAGAUGCUUAAAAUUCUGUUGGAUGUGUGGAAACAAUUGCUGGACCAUAGUGCAAUCUACACAGGUAUUUCUUCACGUACAAAAAUGCACUUAUCGAUUAUGACCUCUUUGAGAGAUCACAAGACCAACACCCUACCGGCAAGAAACUAAACAACUGGAGUCCUUUAAGGUUUGGUUCAACUUCACAAGUUUGAAAUUAAUAAAUAAGUUCUUUACAACCACGCAGAGAAGCUAUCGGCACUAGAUUCUCUACGACCACAUUAUAUUAAGUUAUUAACAAAGGACCAAAGCCAACAACACCUAGAUUUAUCAGCAAAUAUGAGCAAUAAAGUAUGAUCUACCUGUGUGUCCAUUCCACUGCAGAAAGUACUGCAGUCAGCUACAGACUGAUUAAAGACAUCGAAGGUAGCUGUAGAAGCUCUCUUGUAAUGAACCAGCAAAUUGUUAGACCUUAAUUCUGAAGCAGCAUUACAAAAGUUAAAUCAAACAAUAUGUUCAAGAACUAGUGAUAUAGAAGUCUUAGUUCAAGGACUACUAGCAUUUAGACCCAUAGGUCAAGAGAGUUAUGCACCUUUUAGCCUUUAAUUUAUCAGCCUCGUUACAUUGUUGGUGUGGCCUUUCGUUUGUAUUUUUCUCAUGUUCUGUUGGUAUGCUCGACUGGAAAUGAAGCUGAACUUCUUCCUAUUCUUAGGCUUUGGAAAUCAGCCUCAACCUGUCCUCUUUUGAGUUUUGUUUUGGCUUUAGCUUUUGUCAGGCAUUGGUCAACUAAGCAAUGUUGUUGUCAUAAAAUGGUGAUUUGAAGUAUUUUGUAGGCUAGUCUUGAUAUGGCUAGUUCUUGUAGUCUCAGGCCACUAAGAAAAUCUGUAGUAAUUUUCUCUGUAAUGUCAAUAUUAUCAAUGAUCCAAAAAAAAAAAAAGGGGGGGACAUGUCAAUAUUAUCAAUUUAUCAAGGUUGGACAUUGGCAGCUUGGACUAAUCAUUGAUAUCCAUGUCAAGUAAAAGCACAGACGACAAAAGGAAUGGGAAGCGAUAGAAAUAUAUUGAAAACUUGAAUAAACAGAAAACAAAAACACCAAUGCUGAGUAGCCAUGGUGGGAUUUAUAUGCAUACAUUUAUUGAUCGAAAGUAGGGAACAUAUGUUGAUAUAUAACAUGUAUAUAGGGUUAAGGUCCCUGCAGCUUCACUGAAAAUUCAUUCAUUUCCUGGAGGAAUGAACCAAAUUCCAUUAAUCAAACGAGUAGAAGAAACCUGAUCCCAAUAGCAGCAAUUUAUCUAGACUUUUUGGAAUUUUGGGGUAAAUUUGUAUUUUUUCAGCAAUUUAUCUUAUAUACGAGGCAGAGGUUAAAUUCCAAUUCACAGUAGCAGAUUAAAAACACACAGUGUACGUUCAUGUCCAUCUUCAAAAUUCUACUAAGAAUAGGUUACCAAGCCUCGACAAAUUUUAGGUGCUUCAGAACAUCAAAGCAUCACAGUGUUGGUAAGUCUGACUAACUUCUAUCACAACUAAUGAUACCCUAAACUCUCUACCUCUUAACUUGAGAAACUCAGGAAUUAAUCUCCACAUACUGAGCACUAUACAGUUCAAUGGCCCAACAUACUUUAAAUUCAUCUUCUUUGCCAAUCAUUCUUGGAUAUGCAGGUUAACUAGCGAAAGAGGUCUGCCGCACGCAUGCAUCCACCUCUCCAGAUCCAUUAGGUAAUGCAGAAGAAAGCCAUUUAAGGGCAUUAGUGCUUACCUAAGCGUGUCUCCGGGCUGUAAUUUUGGUCCACUCAAUACUGGUGAGAUGCUGAAAUUGUUGCCAUCAGCAUGGAACGAAGGGUGCCCAAGAGGCACUG